rnacentral:rRNA from 1 species
GAUGAACGCUGACAGAAUGCUUAACACAUGCAAGUCAACUUGAACUUCGGUUUGGGUGGCGGAGGGGAGAGUCACGCGUAAAGAACAUGCCUCACAGUUAGGGACAACAUUUGGAAACAAAUGCUAAUACCUGAUAUUAUGAUUUUAGGGCAUCCUAGGAUUAUGAAAGCUAUAUGCGCUGUGAGAAAGCUUUGAGUCCCAUUAACCAGUUGGAGAGGUUAGUGCUCACCGGGGCCAUG